CCUACGGGAGGCAGCAGUGAGGAAUAUUGGUCAAUGGGCGCGAGCCUGAACCAGCCAAGUAGCGUGAAGGAAGACUGCCCUACGGGUUGUAAACUUCUUUUAUAAAGGAAUAAAGUGAGGCACGUGUGCCUGUAUGUAUGUACUUUAUGAAUAAGGAUCGGCUAACUCCGUGCCAGCAGCCGCGGGAAUACGGAGGAUCCGAGCGUUAUCCGGAUUUAUUGGGGUUAAAGGGAGCGUAGAUGGGUUGUUAAGUCAGUUGUGAAAGUGUGCGGGUCAAACGUAAAAUUGCAAUUGAUACUGGCAGCCUUGAGUACAGUUGAGGUAGGCGGAAUUCGUGGUGUAGCGGUGAAAUGCUUAGAUAUCACGAAGAACUCCGAUUGCGAAGGCAGCUUACUAAACUGCCACUGACAUUGAUGCUCGAAAGUGUGGGUAUCGAACAGGAUUAGAUACCCCUGUAGUC
rnacentral:rRNA from 1 species